AGAGUUUGAUCAUGGCUCAGAGCGAACGCUGGCGGCACGCUUAACACAUGCAAGUCGAACGAAGGCCCGGAGCUUGCUCCGGAUACCUUAGUGGCGGACGGGUGAGUAACGCGUGGAAUCUACCUUACGAUGGGGAAUAACAGUUGGAAACGGCUGCUAAUACCGCAUACGCCCUUCGGGGGAAAGGCUUCGGCCGUCGUUAGAGGAUCCCGCGUUCGAUUAGCUAGUUGGUAGGGUAAUGGCCUACCAAGGCAACGAUCGAUAGCUGGUCUGAGAGGAUGAUCAGCCACACUGGAACUGAGACACGGUCCAGACUCCUACGGGAGGCAGCAGUGGGGAAUAUUGGACAAUGGGGGAAACCCUGAUCCAGCGAUGCCGCGUGAGUGAAGAAGGCCUUAGGGUUGUAAAACUCUUUCACCCGUGAAGAUGAUGACUGUAGUGGGAGAAGAAGCUCCGGCUAACUCCGUGCCAGCAGCCGCGGUAAUACGGAGGGGGCUAGCGUUGCUCGGAAUUACUGGGCGUAAAGCGCGCGUAGGCGGCGAAUCCAGUCAGGCGUGAAAGCCCAGGGCUUAACCCUGGAAUUGCGUUUGAUACUGAUUUGCUAGAAUUCGAGAGAGGGUAGUGGAAUUUCCAGUGUAGAGGUGAAAUUCGUAGAUAUUGGAAAGAACACCAGUGGCGAAGGCGGCUACCUGGCUCGAUAUUGACGCUGAGGCGCGAAAGCGUGGGGAGCGAACGGGAUUAGAUACCCCGGUAGUCCACGCCGUAAACGAUGAGUGCUAGUUGUUGGGCAGCUUGCUGUUCAGUGACGCAGCUAACGCGUUAAGCACUCCGCCUGGGGAGUACGGCCGCAAGGUUAAAACUCAAAGGAUUGACGGGGGCCCGCACAAGCGGUGGAGCAUGUGGUUUAAUUCGAAGCAACGCGAAGAACCUUACCAGCCCUUGACAUACCUGUCGCGAUUUCCAGAGAUGGAUUUCUUCGGUUCGGCCGGACAGGAUACAGGUGCUGCAUGGCUGUCGUCAGCUCGUGUCGUGAGAUGUUGGGUUAAGUCCCGCAACGAGCGCAACCCUCGCUAUCAGUUGCCAGCAUUUAGUUGGGCACUCUGAUGGAACUGCCGGUGAUAAACCGGAGGAAGGUGGGGAUGACGUCAAGUCCUCAUGGCCCUUACGGGCUGGGCUACACACGUGCUACAAUGGCGGUGACAGUGGGUUGCUACCUUGCAAGAGGAAGCUAAUCCCUAAAAACCGUCUCAGUUCGGAUUGUUCUCUGCAACUCGAGAGCAUGAAGUUGGAAUCGCUAGUAAUCGUGGAUCAGCGUGCCACGGUGAAUACGUUCUCGGGCCUUGUACACACCGCCCGUCACACCAUGGGAGUUGGUUUUACCUUAAGCCGGUGCGCUAACCUUCGGGAAGCAGCCGACCACGGUAAGGUCAGCGACUGGGGUGAAGUCGUAACAAGGUAACC
rnacentral:rRNA from 1 species